GAUGAACGCUGGCGGCGUGCCUAAUACAUGCAAGUCGAGCGAACGGACCCGAAGCUUGCUUCUCUCAUGUUAGCGGCGGGCGGGUGAGUAACACGUGGAUAACCUACCUAUAAUACUGGUAUAACUUCGGAAAACCGGAGCUAAUACCGGAUGAUCUUUUGAACCACAUGGUUCAAUGGUGAAUGACGGUCUUUGGGUCUCUUAUCGCUGGAUCCGCGCUGCAUUAGCUAGUUGGUCAGGUAACGGCUUACCAAGGCAACGAUGCAUAGCCGACCUGAGAGGGGGAUCGCCGGCACUGGAGCGGAGACAGGCACCAGACUCCUACGGUAGGCAGCAGUAGGGAAUCUGCCGCAAUGGGGGAAAGCCUGACGGAGUAACGCCGCGUGAGUGAUGAAGGUCUUCGGAUCGUAAAACCGUGUUAUGAGGUAAGAACAGAUGUGUAAGGAGCUGUGCACAGCGUGACGGUACCGAAUCAGAAAGCCACGGCUAACUACGUG
rnacentral:rRNA from 1 species